GCGAUCAUACCAGCACUAAAGCACCGGAUCCCAUCAGAACUCCGAAGUUAAGCGUGCUUGGGCGAGAGUAGUACUAGGAUGGGUGACCUCCUGGGAAGUCCUCGUGUUGCAUUCC
rnacentral:rRNA from 1 species